GACGAACGCUGGCGGCGUGCCUAAUACAUGCAAGUAGAACGCUGAAGGAGGAGCUUGCUUCUCCGGAUGAGUUGCGAACGGGUGAGUAACGCGUAGGUAACCUGCCUGGUAGCGGGGGAUAACUAUUGGAAACGAUAGCUAAUACCGCAUAACAGUAGAUGUUGCAUGACAUUUGCUUAAAAGGUGCAAUUGCAUCACUACCAGCUGGACCUGCGUUGUAUUAGCUAGUUGGUGAGGUAACGGCUCACCAAGGCGACGAUACAUAGCCGACCUGAGAGGGUGAUCGGCCAAACUGGGACUGAGACACGGCCCAGACUCCUACGGGAGGCAGCAGUAGGGAAUCUUCGGCAAUGGACGGAAGUCUGACCGAGCAACGCCGCGUGAGUGAAGAAGGGUUUCGGAUCGUAAAGCUCUGUUGUAAGAGAAGAACGAGUGUGAGAGUGGAAAGUUCACACUGUGACGGUAGCUGACCAGAAAGAGACGGCUAACUACGUG
rnacentral:rRNA from 1 species